rnacentral:rRNA from 1 species
GGGGGAUAGCCCAGAGAAAUUUGGAUUAAUACCCCGUAACACAGUGAGUUGGCAUCAACUUAUUGUUAUAGCUACGGCGCUUGAUGAUGGGUGUGCGGCUGAUUAGAUAGUUGGCGAGGUAACGGCUCACCAAGUCUACGAUCAGUAGCUGAUGUGAGAGCAUGAUCAGCCACACGGGCACUGAGACACGGGCCCGACUCCUACGGGAGGCAGCAGUAAGGAAUAUUGGUCAAUGGACGCAAGUCUGAACCAGCCAUGCCGCGUGAAGGAUUAAGGUCCUCUGGAUUGUAAACUUCUUUUAUUUGGGACGAAAAAGGGCCUUUCUAGGUCAACUGACGGUACCAGAUGAAUAAGCACCGGCUAACUCCGUGCCAGCAGCCGCGGUAAUACGGAGGGU